UAGCGCUGAGCCGUUCACGAGCCUCAUAUCUCUUUCGCCUUUUACUAAAGAGAUCAGCGAGCACGGCUCUUUCAGGCGCAUAUCAACAAUCUUUGUAAGGCUUUUGCCU
rnacentral:snRNA from 1 species